rnacentral:rRNA from 1 species
GACAGAGGGGGCAAGCGUUGCUCGGAAUUACUGGGCGUAAAGGGUGCGUAGGCGGGUCUUUAAGUCAGGGGUGAAAUCCUGGAGCUCAACUCCAGAACUGCCUUUGAUACUGAAGAUCUUGAGUUCGGGAGAGGUGAGUGGAACUGCGAGUGUAGAGGUGAAAUUCGUAGAUAUUCGCAAGAACACCAGUGGCGAAGGCGGCUCACUGGCCCGAUACUGACGCUGAGGCACGAAAGCGUGGGGAGCGAACAGG